rnacentral:rRNA from 1 species
AACGAACGCUGGCGGCAGGCUUAACACAUGCAAGUCGAACGCCCCGCAAGGGGAGUGGCAGACGGGUGAGUAACGCGUGGGAAUCUACCCAGUUCUACGGAAUAACCCAGGGAAGCUUGGCCUAAUACCGUAUACGCCCUACGGGGGAAAGAUUUAUCGGAAUUGGAUGAGCCCGCGUUGGAUUAGCUAGUUGGUGGGGUAAUGGCCUACCAAUGCGACGAUCCAUAGCUGGUCUGAGAGGAUGAUCAGCCACACUGGGACUGAGACACGGCCCAGACUCCUACGGGAGGCAGCAGUGGGGAAUAUUGGACAAUGGGCGCAAGCCUGAUCCAGCCAUGCCGCGUGAGUGAUGAAGGCCUUAGGGUUGUAAAGCUCUUUCAGUGGGGAAGAUAAUGACGGUACCCACAGAAGAAGCCCCGGCUAACUUCGUGCCAGCCGCCGCGGUAAGAC